GAAGAAAUCCUACUCGGAUGGAUAUAAUACAACCUGCUAAGUGUCCUAGCACUUAUCAGGUUGUAUUAUCAUUGUCCGUGUCUAUGGCUCUCGUCUACCAGACUCUAAAUUCC
ensembl:miRNA microRNA 374b